rnacentral:rRNA from 1 species
UACAGAGGGUGCAAGCGUUAAUCGGAAUUACUGGGCGUAAAGCGUGCGUAGACGGUUAUGUAAGUCGGGUGUGAAAGCCCCGGGCUCAACCUGGGAAUUGCAUUCGAGACUGUGUAGCUAGAGUUCGGCAGAGGGAAGCGGAAUUUCCGGUGUAGCGGUGAAAUGCGUAGAUAUCGGAAGGAACAUCAGUGGCGAAAGCGGCUUCCUGGUCCAGCACCGACGUUCAGGCACGAAAGCGUGGGGAGCAAACAGG